rnacentral:rRNA from 1 species
CCUACGGGGGGCAGCAGUGAGGAAUAUUGGUCAUUGGACGCAAGUCUGAACCAGCCAUGCCGCGUGCAGGAUGACGGCUCUAUGAGUUGUAAACUGCUUUUGUACUAGGGUAAACCCCGAUACGUGUAUCGGUUUGAAAGUAUCGUACGAAUAAGGAUCGGCUAACUCCGUGCCAGCAGCCGCGGUAAUACGGAGGAUCCGAGCGUUAUCCGGAUGUAUUGGGGUUAAAGUGUGCGUAGGCGGAAUGCCAAGUCAGCGGUAAAAUCGCGGGGCUCAACCUCGCUCCGCCGGUGAAACUGGCGUUCUUGAGUGGGCGAGAAGUAUGCGGAAUGCGUGGUGUAGCGGUGAAAUGCAUAGAUAUCACGCAGAACUCCGAUUGCGAAGGCAGCAUACCGGCGCCCAACUGACGCUGAAGCACGAAAGCGUGGGUAUCGAACAGGAUUAGAUACCCCUGUAGUC